rnacentral:rRNA from 1 species
AGGAUUCCCCUAGUAACUGCGAGUGAAGCGGGAAAAGCUCAAAUUUAAAAUCUGGCAGUCCUUUGGCUGUCCGAGUUGUAAUUUAGAGAAGCAAUACCGGUGCUGGACUGUGUACAAGUCUCCUGGAAUGGAGCGUCAUAGAGGGUGAGAAUCCCGUAUAUGACACAGUUGCCAGGGCUUUAGUGGCAUGCUCUCCAAGAGUCGAGUUGUUUGGGAAUGCAGCUCAAAAUGGGUGGUAAAUUCCAUCUAAAGCUAAAUACAGGCGAGAAACCGAUAGCGAACAAGUACCGUGAGGGAAAGAUGAAAAGAACUUUGGAAAGAGAGUUAAACAGUACGUGAAAUUGUUGAAAGGGAAACGCUUGAAGUCAGUCACAUUGCUGGAAAUCACACUUGCUUUUCAUGGCUUGUGGCUCUUUCCUAGUAAUGGGUCAGCAUCAGUUUUGGUUGUUGGACAAGGGUCAGAGGAAUGUGGCAUCCUUGGAUGUGUUAUAGCCCCUGAUCAUAUGCAAUGAUGGAGACUGAGGAACUCGGCACUUGUGUGCUUAGGAUGCUGGCAUAAUGGCUUUAAUCGACCCGUCUUGAAACACGGACCAA